rnacentral:rRNA from 1 species
AUUGAACGCUGGCGGCAGGCUUAACACAUGCAAGUCGAGCGGGGUGAUGGUGCUUGCACUAUCACUUAGCGGCGGACGGGUGAGUAAUGCUUAGGAAUCUGCCUAUUAGUGGGGGACAACAUCUCGAAAGGGAUGCUAAUACCGCAUACGUCCUACGGGAGAAAGCAGGGGAUCACUUGUGACCUUGCGCUAAUAGAUGAGCCUAAGUCGGAUUAGCUAGUUGGUGGGGUAAAGGCCUACCAAGGCGACGAUCUGUAGCGGGUCUGAGAGGAUGAUCCGCCACACUGGGACUGAGACCCGGCCCAGACGCCUACGGUAGGCAGCAGUGGGGAAUAUUGGACAAUGGGGGGAACCCUGAUCCAGCCAUGCCGCGUGUGUGAAGAAGGCCUUAUGGUUGUAAAGCACUUUAAGCGAGGAGGAGGCUCUUUUGGUUAAUACCCAAGAUGAGUGGACGUUACUCGCAGAAUAAGCACCGGCUAACUCUGUGCCAGCCGCCGCGGUAA